rnacentral:lncRNA from 1 species
UGGCCGUACGGCCGUACAGACGGUAUCGACCAUGCGGUAAAGAAGUGUUACCGCGAGAAGAAGUUCACGUUCGGAUCAUGUUUUACCUUGACCAAAGAAGGCAUAUGACCGUUGAUGGAUAGAGUGGUUUGUCAUCUGAAGCUGUNNNNNNNNNNNNNNNNNNNNNNNNNNNNNNNNNNNNNNNNNNNNNNNNNNNNNNNNNNNNNNNNNNNNNNNNNNNNNNNNNNNNNNNNNNNNNNNNNNNNNNNNNNNNNNNNNNNNNNNNNNNNNNNNNNNNNNNNNNNNNNNNNNNNNNNNNNNNNNNNNNNNNNNNNNNNNNNNNNNNNNNNNNNNNNNNNNNNNGGAAGCUGUGAGCAUUGCAAGCGGCAGGGGCAUAAGAAGAGUCAGUGCUGGAUCCUACAUCCACACCUCAGGCCUAGCAAGUUCAACAAGGAUAGAGAAGCUAAGGCUCACCUUUCUGCUGAAGCAAGUGGUGCCGGCUCAUCAGGGGCUAGUCCAAAUGUCAAGGCGGGUGAAAGUGAAGGCAGAGCUCUAACUUCUCAGGAGGUGAUCACCAAGGCUGACUUUGAGGCAUUCAUCCGAGCCCUCAAGGAGUCUGGUAAAAUGCUAGGCAACACUCUUGGAUACUCAUACUCUGCUCAUACAUUACCUAGUAUCUCUGAUAAGCUGUUAGACAUUUUUAAAACCUCAUGUACUGCUACUGCUCAUACUAGCAUAACUGAUAGAUUGUUAGGAGUAGUUAAGAGCCUGAAAGCUGAAAAUGAAACAUCUAGAAUCAAUACUGCUAGGAGCGUGCAUAAACCAUUGAUAAUUGAUUCCGGUGCAUCUCAUCACAUGAUUAGUGAUAACAAUCUGAUAAAAGACAUAGAACCUGCACUUGGUCAUGUUAUGAUUGCAAAUGGAGAUAGAAUUCCCAUUAGAGGCAUUGGUAAACUGAACUUGUUUAAUAAGGAUUCAAAAGCUUUUUACAUGCCUGAGUUCACCUCUAAUCUUUUAUCAGUUAAGAAAUGCACUACUGAUCUUCAAUGCAAUGUUAUUUUCAGUCCUAAUGAUGUUAAGUUUCAGGAUAUUAAGAGCAGUAAGUUGAUUGGGCAAGGAGCAACCAAGGGGGAUCUUUACAUGAUUGAAGACCUUGCACCUAUUUCUAGUUCUUGUUUCUCGUUUAGUUCUGUUUCUUCCUUAAGUACUGAUGCUCUGUGGCAUGCUAGGCUAGGACAUCCACAUGUUAGGGCUUUAAGCAUUAUGUUACCAGGUGUCAUGUUUAAAAAUAAUGAUUGUGAGGCAUGUAUUUUGGGUAAACAUUGUAAGACUGUUUUUCAGAGAUCAUCUACUCUUUAUGCAAACUGCUUUGAUUUAAUUCACUCUGAUGUUUGGACGGCACCUUGCUUAUCUAGGGAUGAUUACAAGUAUUAUGUCACAUUCAUUGAUGAAAAAUCCAAAUACACCUGGUUAACAUUGAUUAAAACUAAAGAUAGGGUCCUUGAUGCAUUUAAAAAUUUUCAAGCCUAUGUGACUAACCAAUAUCAUGCCAAGAUUAAGAUUUUCAGGUCUGAUAAUGGUGGGGAGUAUACUGGGCAUGCAUUUCGUGAUCACCUUGCUCAACAUGGGAUUCUUCACCAGACUAGCUGCCCAUACACUCCACAGCAGAAUGGAGUUGCGGAAAGGAAGAACAGACAUCUCAUGGAGGUGUCCCGGUCCAUGAUGUUCCACAAAGGGGUUCCCAAGAGGUAUUGGAGUGAUGCUGUGAUGACUGCGUGCUACCUGAUCAACAGGAUACCAACCAGGAUCUUGGCAGAUCAAUCUCCAUUUGAGGUACUCAACAAGAGCAGGCCAGUCUUGGAUCACCUGAGGACCUUUGGAUGCGUGUGUUAUGUUCUUGUACCAGGCGAGCAGAGAAACAAACUAGAAGCAAAGAGCACCAAGGCUAUGAUGAUUGGGUAUUCCACUUCACAGAAGGGAUACAAAUGCUAUGAUCCUACAGCUAGGAGAGUCCUAGUGUCAAGGGAUGUCAGAUUCAUGGAAGACAAAGGAUACUAUGAUGAGCAGACAUGGGAAGACUUGGAGGAUCUCUCCCAGCCAUCAGAAAGAGCUGCUUGCUUGAGAAACAUCCUAGAGGGGCUCGGAAUUGGAGUGUCCCAGGAUCAGAGUAGGCGUCCAGAACCUACUCCAGCUGCAGCAGAAGAACCAUCCCACUUUGCACAUGAGGGGGGAAGUGAAUCAGUAUCUGAACUAGAGGACCAAGGCUUAGAAGAGGCCGGUGAGCUAGGAAACAGAGGAACUGAUUCUCCUGUCCAAAGUGGAGAAGGAUCAGCAAGGGGAGAACUGAAUGAAGAAGAUCAGAGACAAGGAGAGGCUAGAGCUGAAGCUGAAGAACAGACUGAAGCAGUGACUCCACAAGUAGAAGAAGAACAAGAGAUGGCACAAGAAGGGCCAGUGUUGAGAAGGAGUACAAGGCUGAGGAAGGAUCCUUCCAGUUGGGUAAACACGAGAGUGUACUACAAUGCCCAAGCUGUGAAGCAUCCUACUCAGGCUGUGUGUUCCUUUGCUCAAUAUCCAGAAGCACAUUGUGCAUUUAUGGUAAACUUAGAUAAGAAUCACAUUCCAAGAAGCUAUGAAGAGGCAAUGGAAGAUAAGGAAUGGAAGGAAUCAGUAGGAGCUGAGGCAGGAGCUAUGAUAAAGAAUGACACAUGGUAUGAGAGUGAACUACCAAAAGGGAAGAAGGCUGUGUCUAGUAGAUGGAUCUUUACAGUCAAGUACAAGGCUGAUGGGUCGAUUGAGAGGAAGAAGACUAGACUGGUAGCAAGAGGGUUCACUCAGACUUAUGGAGAAGACUACAUUGAUACAUUUGCUCCAGUUGCAAAGCUACACACCAUUCGAAUAGUCCUAUCAGUGGCUACUAACCUUGGGUGGGAUCUUUGGCAGAUGGAUGUUAAGAAUGCAUUUCUCCAAGGAGAGUUAGAAGAUGAAGUUUACAUGCUACCACCUCCGGGCCUAGAAGGGAUGGUGAAACCAGGGAAUGUGCUGAGACUGAAGAAGGCCAUCUAUGGGUUAAAGCAAUCACCAAGGACAUGGUAUCACAAGCUGAGCACAACUCUAAAUGGAAGAGGUUUCAGGAAAUCAGAGCUUGAUCACACUCUCUUCACUCUUACUACACCUGCUGGCAUUGUUGUGCUUCUUGUAUAUGUGGAUGACAUAGUUAUCACAGGCAGUGAUAAGGUGGGAAUCAAGGAGACCAAGGAGUUUCUGAAAUCUGUGUUUGACAUCAAAGACUUGGGAGAAAUGAAGUACUUCCUUGGAAUUGAGCUGUGCAGAUCAGAAGAAGGGUUGUUCAUCUCACAAAGGAAGUAUAUCUUGGAUCUGUUGAAGGAGGCUGGUGCGUAUGGUGGAAAGACAGCCAAGAUGCCCAUGGAGGAUGGGUAUAAAGCUCCACGUGAGGGGGAGCUAGAAGAUAGUAAGCUAUUUCAUGAUCCAAAGCUAUACAGGAAGCUUGUGGGGAAGCUGAUCUAUCUAACCAUCACUAGGCCAGACAUCUGUUUUGCUGUGAACCAAGUGAGUCAGCAUAUGCAAGCUCCAAGAGAGCAUCACUGGCGCAUGGUAGAAAGAGUUCUCAUGUAUCUGAAUGGAACUCAAGGGCUUGGUAUAUGGAUGGGUUGUAACGGGAGUACUGAAGCAGUGGGAUAUUGUGAUGCAGAUUGGGCUGGAGACAGAACAGAUAGAAGAUCUACAACCGGCUAUUGCACAUUCAUUGGUGGAAACAUGGUUACUUGGAAGAGUAAGAAGCAGAAGGUGGUGUCAUGCUCAAGUGCCGAGGCUGAGUAUAGAGCAAUGCUAAAGCUCACAAAUGAGUUGGUAUGGAUUAAAGGAAUACUGAAGCACUUGGAGAUUGAGCAAGCAACACCAAUGACCAUGCACUGUGACAAUCAAGCAGCCAUUCACAUAGCCACAAACUCGGUGUUCCAUGAAAGAACCAAGCAUAUUGAAGUGGACUGUCAUAAAGUGAGGCAGAUGAUAGUCUUGGGAGUGAUACUGCCGUGCUACACAAGGAGUGAGGAUCAGUUGGCAGAUGUAUUCACUAAGGCGGCUAGGCAAAAGACAAUGGAGUCAAUUCACAUAAGGUUGGGACUCCUUGAUCUUUCGCCUAAGGGCUGAUCUAUACACUCUCCUGAUCAUGAGGUCCUUACUCUUUUUCCCUCAUCAGAGUUUUGUCCCAAUGGGUUUUCUUUGAUGAGGUUUUUAAUGAGGAGGAGCUCAUGAUCCUUCCAAGCUUGACUUGUUCCACAUGGUCAAGCUUGAGGGGGAGUGUUGAGAUGAGCUGAGGAAUAUGAGGAGAGUUGUUCAGGGUUGAAGAGGUUGUGAUGUGGAGUAGAGGAGAAGGAUUGGCCUUAGGGAGAACCGUCCGUACCGGUCCGUACAGGUCCGUACCAUGGCCGUACGGCCGUACAGACGGUAUCGACCAUGCGGUGAAGAGUGUUACCGCGGGAAGAAGUUACUCGACCAGAUCAUGUUUUACCUUGACCAAAGAAGGCAUAUGACCGUUGAUGGAAAGAGGAAGAGCGUCUCUACAGGCUGGCACAAGCUGGAAGGAUAAGGUUCACUUUUAGAAUAGUGACCACGCGUGUGGAGAGGCUCAUUGGUUCGAUUCAAAGUAAAGGGCUAUCUUAUCUUUGACCUCACAUGCUUAGUCUCUCCUUAAACCCUAGUAUCACACUCCUAUAUAUUGUAAACACUCUCUCAUUAAUAAGAUCAAGCGGAUUAUGUUACUCUCUCUCUAGAAUCUCUCUUGUUCAUCAUGGAUCAUACAUAAUCUCCCCAUUUCUUUCACAAUCUCUUCUAAACUUCUCUUAAUCUCUUACCAAAUCUCUCUUAAUCUCUCAAUACCUAUUCUACUCUCUAAAAUCUCAU